GAUGAACGCUGGCGGCGUGCCUAAUACAUGCAAGUCGAACGCAGUGGGGACGGGUGAGUAACACGUGGGUAACCUCCCAUCAGAGGGGAUAACCCUUGGAAACAGGUGCUAAACCGAUACUGAUGGAUGGACCCGCGGUGCAUUAGCUAGGUUGUGAGGUAACGGCCCACCAAGGCCACGAUGCAUAGCCGACCUGAGAGGGUGAUCGGCCACACUGGGACUGAGACACGGCCCAGACUCCUACGGGAGGCAGCAGUAGGGAAUCUUCGGCAAUGGGCGAAAGUCUGACCGAGCAACGCCGCGUGAGUGAAGAAGGUUUUCGGGUCGUAAAACUCUGUUGUUGGAGAAGCGGUAUCUAACCAGAAAGCAACGGCUAACUACGUGCCAGCAGCCGCGGUAAUUC
rnacentral:rRNA from 1 species